rnacentral:snRNA from 1 species
UUGAUGUUCAGUGUAUCUAAUCUAUCACAUAUUUAAAUCUUCAGACAAGUUCAACGUGGCUCCUGCCCAAGGAUGACGUGCAAAUCUGUGAAGUGGUCUAUAUAUUU